GGUGGCGAGUGGCGAACGGGUGAGUAAUAUAUUGGAACGUACCGAGUAGUGGGGGAUAACUAAGCGAAAGUUUGGCUAAUACCGCAUACGACCUGAGGGUGAAAGCGGGGGAUAGGAAACUGCCUCGCGCUAUUUGAGCGGCCAAUAUCUGAUUAGCUAGUUGGUGGGGUAAGGGCUUACCAAGGCGAUGAUCAGUAGCGGGUCUGAGAGGAUGAUCCGCCACACUGGGACUGAGAGACGGCCCAGACUCC
rnacentral:rRNA from 1 species